rnacentral:rRNA from 1 species
UACGAAGGGGGCUAGCGUUGCUCGGAAUCACUGGGCGUAAAGGGUGCGUAGGCGGGUCUUUUAAGUCAGGGGUGAAAUCCUGGAGCUCAACUCCAGAACUGCCUUUGAUACUGAAGAUCUUAGUUCGGGGAGAGGUGAGUGGAACUCCGAGUGUAGAGGUGAAAAUUCGUAGAUAUUCGGAAGAACACCAGUGGCGAAGGCGGCUCACUGGUCCGGUAUGACGCUGAGGUGCGAAAAGCGUGGGGGAGCAAACAGGGAUUAAGAAAACCCCCAG